CCCACAUUUAGCAUAAAGAUUCAAAAGGGCAUUUGCAGCAUGUACCUCAAUUCACUCUUACAUAAAGAUUCAAAAGAAGAUGACGACUUCAUCUACCUUCAAUUAACCCUCAAUAAAAUUCCACCAGACAACUCACUAUCCCUCACAAAAUCACCCUGUCCCAUUUUCUUCGAUACUUCUUCAACAUUUAUCUCAUCAUUGCUAAUAAACCCAAAAGAUGCCACAACUCAAAAUUUAUUCUUGUGCUAAAACAGACAAUUCCAACAAAUCCCAUAACUCAAAAUUCAACAAUUUCAACAAACUCACAACUCAAAAUUCA
rnacentral:lncRNA from 1 species